rnacentral:rRNA from 1 species
GACGAACGCUGGCGGCGUGCCUAAUACAUGCAAGUCGAACGCUGAAGGAGGAGCUUGCUUCUCCGGAUGAGUUGCGAACGGGUGAGUAACGCGUAGGUAACCUGCCUGGUAGCGGGGGAUAACUAUUGGAAACGAUAGCUAAUACCGCAUAAGAGUAGAUGUCGCAUGACAUUUGCUUAAAAGGUGCAACUGCACCACUACCAGAUGGACCUGCGUUGUAUUAGCUAGUUGGUGAGGUAACGGCUCACCAAGGCAACGAUACAUAGCCGACCUGAGAGGGUGAUCGGCCACACUGGGACUGAGACACGGCCCAGACGCCUACGGGAGGCAGCAGUAGGGAAUCUUCGGCAAUGGACGGAAGUCUGACCGAGCAACGCCGCGUGAGUGAAGAAGGGUUUCGGAUCGUAAAGCUCUGUUGUAAGAGAAGAACGAGUGUGAGAGUGGAAAGUUCACACUGUGACGGUAGCUUACCAGAAAGGGACGGCUAACUACGUG